rnacentral:misc_RNA from 1 species
UCGAGUUCGGGUCUUUCAGGCCCAACCUCCAACCCCCAUGUUUAUCUUCUCUGUUGCUUUGGCGGGCCGUGGCUUCGUGCCCCGCCGGCUUCGGCUGGUGCGCGCCCGUCAGAGACCCAUUUUAAACCCUUUUUUAAACGACAAGUCUGAAUUUAAAAACAAAAUAAGCAUAA